rnacentral:rRNA from 1 species
ACCUACGGGAGGCAGCAGUGAGGAAUAUUGGUCAAUGGUCGGGAGACUGAACCAGCCAGGCCGCGUGAGGGAUGAAGGUACAGAGUAUCGUAAACCUCUUUUGUCAGGGAACAAAGGCGGGGACGUGUCCCCGGAUGAGUGUACCUGAAGAAAAAGCAUCGGCUAACUUCGUGCCAGCAGCCGCGGUAAUACGGAGGAUGCGAGCGUUAUCCGGAUUUAUUGGGUUUAAAGGGUGCGCAGGCGGUCUGUUAAGUCAGCGGUCAAAGCCCGGGGCUCAACCCCGGCCCGCCGUUGAAACUGGCAGC